AUGACCACUGGGCUCUUCCAUGAGCUGGGGAGAGCUGAGGUCAAGGAGCUGCUCCCCUGUCCCAGCACUGCAGCUGCCAAAGGGUGUCCCAAACUGCACAACGGACAGAGGCUUGACCAAGAAAAGAAAAACGGUAGGCGAGAGGAGGACGCACAGGGUAGAACUGCAGCAGCAUCAAGCAGCAGUUACACACUCUUAACAAAACCACACAGAGCUCCUGCAUUAACACGCUGGAAGCCAUCACUGCUACUCCCAGACAGAAUGAUUUGGCCAGCAGAAGCAAAGUGACAAAACAUCUCUAUUUGGAAGAUAUAGAUUUGAGGAAUCCACACUUCUUUGGAAAACCCUGAACAGCAGUGGAGCUCAAUCUUUUUCAUAAUUCUUAAAUGCAGACUCACAGCAGAACAUAAAGAUAAUGUGUUCAGAAAGCCAUUGAUAACCUCCUCACAGCUGAAGCUUUUCACAGCUUUAACUUCAUCACUUUACAGCUAUUUCAGAUUAUUUUUAGAAAUAACCCUAACAGGAAUAGCUUUUCAUUUUCUUGAUACAAACAGAAACUAAUCUGGCAAUUACUGUGUUUUUUUUUAGCCUUGUGUGCAAUUGACUUAAUAUUUCUAACCAACCACAAUGUGGGAUCUUUUUACAGUGCUGAGAUCUUAUUCCUGAGAUGUCUUUGAACUUCCAAAUAAGAGGUUUCCACCCCACCCCCCAAACUCUU
rnacentral:lncRNA from 1 species